CGUCCGAAACAAAUCGGAUUUCAGCCACUUUGCACAUCUCUAAUGUUUACACAACGAGCCUCUAUUUUCACCCCCAAACGAGUGACUUCCCUUUGUUUGAAUCGGGCUUAGUUCAUACGGGAUCACCGAGGAACCGGCAACAGCACGUAUGGGCGGGAUUUCGUCCGGUUUCCUUCGGAAGUCCCGGACCGAACGGUGUUGCGGAGGAUGAAGAAACAGAUGGACGGCCUCCCGAAGAAGUUUGUCCUGACCCACCACGAAGAACCGAACCACCAGCACUUGGUCUCGCAGUACGACGACCAAUACAACCGGCACGGCUACAAUCCCAUCCUACCACCGCUUCGGAAGUGGCAAGUGCAAAAGUUUGCCUGGGUCCCGGAGAAAUCGGACUUCCCGAUUCUCGAGCCUCCAACCAACUACGGACUGUUUGAGCAUCUGGUGAAAAAAUGGACGCGCAAAGAGCAUGGGCGCAUGAACAGCGUCUACAACGUUUCCUACCCAAAGCCUCCAGCCGGAUCCUACACCGUCCGCCAGCGACCCAUCACCACCCACAUCCUGCAGGCCAACCAGGAGAUAUGGCUGCCCCGGAGCAGCGACCCAUACCUGUGAAAGUAACGUCUGUAUUUCCGCUCAGAUACCGGAUUAAAUACCCCACUGUUGACGUAAAAGUAAUGAGGAAGUGGUGGUAUUUCAUAUAAGUUAUUUGCCAUGAAAUAUAGUAUAUUAUUAAAUAUGUGUGGGUAUGGAUGAGUUGAAUGGAAGGAAGGAACAAAUGAGAGCUAAAUUUUGGAGACACCAUUCAAAAAUGUUAAGGCCCGCAAUGACUAAUUUCCCGCUUGCUGAACUGUAAUUAAAAGUUGCUAAUGAGAGCUGAAAAUAGUUGAACUGCCUGGUAAAUGAGUAAAGGAUAUACCUUGGAUGUGUUGGUAUAUUGUGGCGAAAUUUGGUGGCAUUUGAUCCAGUGGUUUUGUUGUUAACUCGGUCCGAAUUACGCACAAAACAUUUAUAUAAUAAUAUAAUAUAAUAUAAUAUAAUAUAUAAUAAAUAGAUAGAUAGAUAGAUAGAUAUAAUGCAGAGGGAAACCAUUAUAACGCCGUCCGAAUUGCAUUGAAUAAAUGAGAGCUAAAUUUUGGAGACAACAUUCAAAAUGUUAAGGCCCGCAAUGACUAAUUUCCCACUUGCUGAACUGUAAUUAAAAGUUGCUAAUGAGAGCUGAAAUAGUUGAACUACCUGGUAAAUGAGUGAAGGACGUACCUUGGAUGUGUUGGUAUAUUGUGGCCAAAUUUGGGGGCGUUUGGUCCAGUGGUUUUGUUGUUAACUUGGUCCUAAUUAUGCACAAAACAUUUAUAUAUUAAUAUAAUAUAAUAUAAUAUAAUAUAUAUAAUAUAAUAAAUAGAUAGAUAGUUAGAUAGAUAAAUAGAUAGAUAGAUAGAUAUAAUGCAGAGGGAAACCAUAUAACACCGUCCGAAUUGAAUGAAUGAGAGCUAAAUUUUGGAGACAACAUUCAAAAAUAUUAAGGCCCGCAAUGACUAAUUUCCCGCUUGCUGAACUGUAGUUAAAAGCUGCUAAUGAGAGUUGAAAAUAGUUGAACUGCCUGGUAAAUGAGUGAAGGACAUACCUUGGAUGUGUUGGUAUAUUGUGGCCAAAUUUGGGG
rnacentral:lncRNA from 11 species